AUAAAAAUCUGAAAACAAAAAAAAAAAAAAAAAAGUAUUUUUCUGUUGUUCAAAAUGGAAUCUGCAAGUCAGAGAUUUACAAAAAUAGGGAACCAGCCAAAGAAGCUGAAGGUGAUCCAUUUCAAUAUAUUUACAACGAAUACAAUGUAGAGCAAAUGGUUAAUGUAGUGACUGCUUAAUGCUUGUGAGUAACAUGAUCUGGUAAAUUGAGGAAUGGGAUGCAAUCUGUAUGCAUGGAGGGGACAGAUGGGGGCACAGUAUUGCUUGGCUGCAAAGAGGGGAUGCUGAGAGGCAGCAGUGGUGCUCCUCUCCUCCCUGUUUUCUUUGACUC